rnacentral:rRNA from 1 species
CCAGAACGACUCUCGGCAACGGAUAUCUCGGCUCUCGCAUCGAUGAAGAACGUAGCGAAAUGCGAUACUUGGUGUGAAUUGCAGAAUCCCGUGAACCAUCGAGUCUUUGAACGCAAGUUGCGCCCGAAGCCAUCAGGCCGAGGGCACGCCUGCCUGGGCGU